UUGUAACACACAGUAGCAAGGUUUAAUGUGUAACAUAAAGUGGCAAGGUCUCAAAGUCAUAUAUUUAGCUCACACACUCCUUCUCUGUGAUAAUACCAAUAGAAUGAAAUUUCAGUCUUUUCUUCUCCACGAUACCAACUGAUUGAAACCCUGCACUCUUCUUUCCCGUGAUACCAGCUGAAUGAAACCUCACACAUUCCUUUCCCACGAUAAUACCAGCUGAAUGAAACCUCACACAUUCCUUUCCCAUGAUAAUACCAGCUGAUUGAAAAACUGCACAUUCCUUUCCCAGGACAAUACCAGCUGAAUGAAACCCUGCACAUUCUUUUCCCAAGAUAAUACCAGCUGAAUGAAACCUCACACAUUUCUUUCCCUUGAUAAUACCAGCUGAUUGAAAAACUGCACAUUCCUUUCCCAGGACAAUACCAGCUGAAUGAAACCUCACACAUUCCUUUCCCAUGAUAAUACCAGCUGAAUGAAACCACACACAUUACUUUCCCAAGAUAGUACUAGCUGAUUGAAACCCUGCACAUUCCUUUCCCAAGAUAAUACCAGCUGAAUGAAACCUCACACAUUCCUUUCCCAUGAUAAUACCAGCUGAUUAAAACCCUGCACAUUCCUUUCACGUGAUAAUACCAACUGGUUGAAACCACACAUUUCUUUCCCAUGAUAAUACCAACUGAUUGAAACCACACAUUCCUUUCCCAUGAUAAUACAAGGUCAGAAGACUAAGAUCUAUUGCGUUGGAAGCCUUUAACGUCAUAAAAACAAGGUCCAUCAUACUUUAAUUAAAUAUAUUUAUUACUAUUUUAGGUACACAGACACAGCAGACAUUCCAAGGGUAAGAACCUCUAGCUGUGGCUGCUCUUCGUUUCGCGGCGACCAAUUUUUGUUGGAACUCUCUGCCACAAGAAACCAAUUCAACCAGUUCAAAAGUUUGGUCAAUACCUGGAGCAGAGAGGGCUGCACAUACACUGCCUAUUCUAGCUACUGAUUUGCUGCUUUAUGUUAUUUUGCUUGUUUUCUAUGUGCUAGGUUGCUUUAUGCUUUGAUGCUUUCUUUUAUAUGUGCCUAUUUCUUAAUUAUGCUUAUUUCUUUUUUUCUUGUUUUAUAUGUGUGUGCAUGUAUAUGCAUUGCUUUCAUGUGUGCUUUUGUAUUGCUUGAAGGUAGCUGCUUCCAGAAAUUAUCUUUUAUUUUAUGUCUUUUUAUGUUGCUUUAACAUGUCAUAUUUUAUGCAAGUUAAUUUAUUCAUGUCUUAACCAGUGUUUUGGUUGUUUUCUGUUUUCUGGUUAUUUAUAACUUCAGGUUUGAUUUUGAUGAAUGUGAGCAUGUAAUAGUGCAGUUGUGUCUAACAGUCAGCAUGAAUUAACUACAUGUACUCCCAAUUAAGAAGUGGCUAUGUAAAGGACACUGAUAUAAAGACAUUGCUGGAUGUAUUUCCUGGUGGCAACUUCAGACCAACAGAAGUGUUUGGGGUAGCAGUAUUUACCACUAUUGAUCUGGAAACCACUGACCUAAGAAAAUGUUGGAUGCUUUAAAAAUCAUCCCUUCACUGUACAGCUUUGUUGAUGAGAUGUAUAAGAAAGGAUACCACUGUCAGUAUGGAGGGAAAUAACCUUAAUGCUUAGAAGGAGGCGGAGAUGUCAGAUUCCUCUUCACCUCAAAGUCACCAUGACAACUAACAGCAACAUGAAAGGGGUGACAGUAUGGAUGAAAGUGGCUGGAAAAAAAAUUGCA